ensembl:snoRNA
UCUGCUUCUAGAAGCAUUGCAGAAGUGAAUGCUGUGUCACACAUGAAAAAGUAGGUGCCAGAGAGGAGAGAGGUUAUAUUUAUGUUCAAUGUUCUGACCUAUGUGAAUGAUUAGUAGUCUAAAGUU